rnacentral:rRNA from 1 species
GAUGAACACUGGCGGCGUGCCUAAUACAUGCAAGUCGAGCGAACAGACGAGGAGCUUGCUCCUCUGACGUUAGCGGCGGACGGGUGAGUAACACGUGGAUAACCUACCUAUAAGACUGGGAUAACUUCGGGAAACCGGAGCUAAUACCGGAUAAUAUAUUGAACCGCAUGGUUCAAUAGUGAAAGACGGUUUUGCUGUCACUUAUAGAUGGAUCCGCGCCGCAUUAGCUAGUUGGUAAGGUAACGGCUUACCAAGGCAACGAUGCGUAGCCGACCUGAGAGGGUGAUCAGCCACACUGGAACUGAGACACGGUCCAGACUCCUACGGGAGGCAGCAGUAGGGAAUCUUGCGCAAAGGGCGAAAGCCUGACGGAGCAACGCCGCGUGAGUGAUGAAGGUCUUCGGAUCGUAAAGCUCUGUUAUUAGGGAAGAACAAAUGUGUAAGUAACUAUGCACGUCUUGACGGUACCUAAUCAGAAAGCCACGGCUAACUACGUG